UACGAACUGUGCAAACGUUAUUCGGAAUUACUGGGCGUAAAGCGUGCGCAGGCGGUUAUGUAAGACAGGUGUGAAAUCCCCGGGCUUAACCUGGGAACUGCAUUUGUGACUGCAUAGCUAGAGUACGGUAGAGGGGGAUGGAAUUCCGCGUGUAGCAGUGAAAUGCGUAGAUAUGCGGAGGAACACCGAUGGCGAAGGCAAUCCCCUGGACCUGUACUGACGCUCAUGCACGAAAGCGUGGGGAGCAAACAGG
rnacentral:rRNA from 1 species